CCGCUCACACCAGCUUACCUUCACCAUUUUUCGAACAGAUCUCAAAUAGCAUUCCUUCGACAAAUUUCGAACAAAUCUCAGCUCUUGGAGUUCAUCGAUCUAUGUUUUUCUUCUCUUCUCAAAUCUUUUAACAUCAACCUAUUCCGGUUGCUGCUAUUUUUUUUUCUGCUAAUGUUUUUUUUCUAUUAUUCCUGUAUUUUUAUUCUCAGGUUUUGGGUUAUAUAGCUUUUCUUUCUUGCCAAACAUGUCCUUUUGCUUGUAUAUAUCGCAAGGGAUUUUUAUUUUGGUUUUGAUUUUGACUCUUUGGUGCUUUUGUUUAUGUGGAUUUUUUAAGGUAAGGAAGAUGCAAAUCAGAUAAGGAAAGCUUGCAGCAAAGGAUCAUGCAAUGUAUUUCCAACAAAUGGUCUUUCUGAUAGUAUAAUCCCUCACAUCCUUAACAUAUAUUUGGUUCUUAAGAACAAGAUGAUCCUAUAUUAGUCAUAAGUAAAGAGUGUCAGAUGUCAAUGAAAAUAUUCACCCCAACCUAACACGAACAUAAUUCUUGCAUCUCUUACAGAUCAUAAUUGUAAGUUUAUUAUCUGGGUUUUCAUUUUUUCCUCUGUUGUUUGCCAUUGAUAUUGAGAUUCUGCUAUACACAUUGUCCAUAUCGUACAAAGUAAUGUAUUUAGUUAACUUUAAAUUGUUC